AUGGCCGCCGCUGACUCCAAGAUCGACAACCUCCGCUACACCGUCGCCAAGCUCGGCGAGAUCAGUGAGAACGAGAAGGCCAUAUUCAUCAGCCUCGUCUCACGCUACCUCAGCGAGGCGGAGCAUAUCGAGUGGAGCAAGAUCCAGACCCCCACCGAUGAGGUGGUGGUGCCCUACGACACCCUCGUGCCCCCUCUCGAAGAUCUCGAAGCCAUGAAGGCGCUGCUCGACAAUCUCGUGGUGCUCAAGCUCAACGGCGGCCUCGGCACCACCAUGGGCUGCACCACAUGA
rnacentral:rRNA from 1 species